AACGAACGCUGGCGGCAGGCCUAACACAUGCAAGUCGAACGCGUCCUUCGGGACGAGUGGCAGACGGGUGAGUAACGCGUGGGAACGUACCCUUUGGUUCGGAACAACAGCGGGAAACUGCUGCUAAUACCGGAUAAGCCCUUCGGGGGAAAGAUUUAUCGCCAGAGGAUCGGCCCGCGUUAGAUUAGCUUGUUGGUGAGGUAAUGGCUCACCAAGGCUACGAUCUAUAGCUGGUCUGAGAGGAUGAUCAGCCACACUGGGACUGAGACACGGCCCAGACUCUUACGGGAGGCAGCAGUGGGGAAUCUUGGACAAUGGGCGAAAGCCUGAUCCAGCCAUGCCGCGUGAAUGAUGAAGGCCCUAGGGUUGUAAAAUUCUUUCGACGGGGAAGAUAAUGACGGUACCCGUAGAAGAAGCUCCGGCUAACUUCGUGCCAGCCGCCGCGGUAA
rnacentral:rRNA from 1 species